CGUUUAUUUGAUAGUACCUUACUACUUGGAUAACCGUGGUAAUUCUAGAGCUAAUACAUGCUAAAACCCCGACUUCGGGAGGGUGUAUUUAUUAGAUAAAAAACCAAUGCCCUUCGGGGCUCUUGGUGAUUCAUGAUAACUUAACGGAUCGCAUGGCCUUGCGCCGGCGACGGUUCAUUCAAAUUUCUGCCCUAUCAACUUUCGAUGGUAAGGUAUUGGCUUACCAUGGUUUCAACGGGUAACGGGGAAUUAGGGUUCGAUUCCGGAGAGGGAGCCUGAGAAACGGCUACCACAUCCAAGGAAGGCAGCAGGCGCGCAAAUUACCCAAUCCCGACUCGGGGAGGUAGUGACAAUAAAUACUGAUACAGGGCUCUUUUGGGUCUUGUAAUCGGAAUGAGUACAAUUUAAACCCCUUAACGAGGAACAAUUGGAGGGCAAGUCUGGUGCCAGCAGCCGCGGUAAUUCCAGCUCCAAUAGCGUAUAUUAAAGUUGUUGCAGUUAAAAAGCUCGUAGUUGAACCUUGGGCCUGGCUGGCCGGUCCGCCUCACCGCGUGUACUGGUCCGGCCGGGCCUUUCCUUCUGGAGAGCCGCAUGCCCUUCACUGGGUGUGUUGGGGAACCAGGACUUUUACUUUGAAAAAAUUAGAGUGUUCAAAGCAGGCCUUUGCUCGAAUACGUUAGCAUGGAAUAAUAGAAUAGGACGUGCGGUCCUAUUUUGUUGGUUUCUAGGACCGCCGUAAUGAUUAAUAGGGAUAGUCGGGGGCAUCAGUAUUCAAUUGUCAGAGGUGAAAUUCUUGGAUUUAUUGAAGACUAACUACUGCGAAAGCAUUUGCCAAGGAUGUUUUCAUUAAUCAGUGAACGAAAGUUAGGGGAUCGAAGACGAUCAGAUACCGUCGUAGUCUUAACCGUAAACUAUGCCGACUAGGGAUCGGGCGAUGUUUCUAUCUUGACUCGCUCGGCACCUUACGAGAAAUCAAAGUUUUUGGGUCUGGGGGAGUA
rnacentral:rRNA from 2 species